rnacentral:rRNA from 1 species
AUGAACGCUGGCGGCGUGCCUAACACAUGCCAGUCGAACGAAGCACCUUACCUGAUUCUUCGGAUGAAAGUUUGGUGACUGAGUGGCGGACGGGUGAGUAACGCGUGGGUAACCUGCCCUGUACAGGGGGAUAACAGCUGGAAACGGCUGCUAAUACCGCAUAAGCGCACGAGGAGACAUCUCCUUGUGUGAAAAACUCCGGUGGUACAGGAUGGGCCCGCGUCUGAUUAGCUGGUUGGCAGGGUAACGGCCUACCAAGGCAACGAUCAGUAGCCGGUCUGAGAGGAUGAACGGCCACAUUGGAACUGAGACACGGUCCAAACUCCUACGGGAGGCAGCAGUGGGGAAUAUUGCACAAUGGAGGAAACCCUGAUGCAGCAACGCCGCGUGAGUGAAGAAGUAUUUCGGUAUGUAAAGCUCUAUCAGCAGGGAAGAUAAUGACGGUACCUGACGAAGAAGCUCCGGCUAAAUACGUG